GGGGUCGAUUAGGGUUCGACGGGAUUAACGGAGUAUGGAUGGCAAGUCGAGGUAUACGUAAAUACAACAGUUAAAAUAACUGGAAACAAAAUUAAAAAUACACUUGCUGCAAUGUUUAAUAGAAACGCUGUAGCUUUUGCCUAAUUUAAUUAGGAAGUGUGCUUCUUUUAUUUCUUUUCCUGUGAGAAAUAUAAGAGGCUUAUAAAGCAGGAUAUAUUGUUAUGAUGUCUAUAAGUAACAAUGAAUUGUAUAGACUGGUUAUAUGUUAAUUUGUUAAUUAGUUUUUCAUAUAAUGAAGCUUUGUAAUUAACUAAACUUGUAGAUGUCUAUAUGGUGUUUUUUUCGGACGGGAGUUCGAUUCUCCCCGGCUCCACCA
rnacentral:tmRNA from 1 species